rnacentral:rRNA from 1 species
GACGAACGCUGGCGGCGUGCUUAACACAUGCAAGUCGAACGGAAAGGCCCUGCUUUUGUGGGGUGCUCGAGUGGCGAACGGGUGAGUAACACGUGAGUAACCUGCCCUUGACUUUGGGAUAACUUCUGGAAACUGGGGCUAAUAUCGGAUAGGAGCUCCCGCUGCAUGGUGGGGGUUGGAAAGUUUCGGCGGUUGGGGCUGGACUCGCGGCUUACCAGCUUGUUGGGGGGGUAGUGGCUUACCAAGGCAUUGAAGGGUAGCCGGCCUGAGAGCGUGACCGGCGACAUUGGUACUGAGAUACGGCGCAGAAGCCUACGGGAGGCAGCAGGGGGGAAUAUUGCAGAAUGGGGGGAAGCGUGAUGCAGCAAUGCCGCGUGCGGGAUGACGUCCUUCGGGUUGUAAACCGCUUUCGACUGUGACGAAGCGUGAGUGACGGUAAUGGGUAAGGAAGCACCGGCUAACUACGUG